rnacentral:rRNA from 1 species
UACGUAGGGUGCGAGCGUUAAUCGGAAUUACUGGGCGUAAAGCGUGCGCAGGCGGUUAUGUAAGACAGAGGUGAAAUCCCCGGGCUCAACCUGGGAACUGCCUUUGUGACUGCAUGACUAGAGUACGGCAGAGGGGGAUGGAAUUCCGCGUGUAGCAGUGAAAAGCGUAGAUAUGCGGAGGAACUCCGAUGGCGAAGGCAAUCCCCUGGGCCUGUUCUGACGCUCAUGCACGAAAGCGUGGGGAGCAAACAGG